UACAGAGGUGGCAAGCGUUGUUCGGAAUUACUGGGCGUAAAGGGCGCGUAGGCGGCCUUCUAAGUCAGACGUGAAAUCCCCCGGCUUAACCUGGGAACUGCGUCUGAUACUGUUUUUCUUGAGUCCGGGAGAGGUUGAUGGAAUUCCAGGUGUAGCGGUGAAAUGCGUAGAUAUCUGGAAGAACACCAGUGGCGAAGGCGGUCAACUGGCCCGAAACUGACGCUGAGGCACGAAAGCGUGGGUAGCGAACAGG
rnacentral:rRNA from 1 species